UGGGGAGUAUUGGACAAUGGGGGCAACCCUGAUCCAGCAAUGCCGCGUGAGUGAUGAAGGCCUUCGGGUUGUAAAGCUCUUUCGACGGGGAAGAUGAUGACGGUACCCGUAGAAGAAGCCCCGGCUAACUUCGUGCCAGCAGCCGCGGUAAUACGAAGGGGGCUAGCGUUGUUCGGAUUUACUGGGCGUAAAGGGCGCGUAGGCGGUGCAAUAAGUCAGGCGUGAAAGCCCCGGGCUCAACCCGGGAAUAGCGCUUGAUACUGUUGCGCUUGAAUCCAGGAGAGGAUGGCGGAAUUCCCAGUGUAGAGGUGAAAUUCGUAGAUAUUGGGAAGAACACCAGUGGCGAAGGCGGCCAUCUGGCCUGGAAUUGACGCUGAGGCGCGAAAGCGUGGGGAGCAAACAGG
rnacentral:rRNA from 1 species